GUAGUCUCGCACAGAUGCAUAUCAAUAAGCGGAGGAAAAGAAACUAACAAGGAUUCCCUCAGUAACGGCGAGUGAAGCGGGAAGAGCUCAAAUUUGAAAUCUUGAAAGGUCACCUUUCACGAAUUGUAGUUUAAAGAAGUGUUUUCUGUUACGAUCGUAAUAUAAGUUCUUUGGAAUAGGACAUCACAGAGGGUGAGAAUCCCGUCUAUGAUUGCGAUUUGUAGCUUUGUGAUACACUUUCAAAGAGUCGGGUUGUUUGGGAAUGCAGCUCAAAACGGGAGGUAAAUUUCUUCUAAGGCUAAAUAUUGGCGAGAGACCGAUAGCGAACAAGUACCGUGAGGGAAAGAUGAAAAGAACUUUGAAAAGAGAGUUAAAUAGUACGUGAAAUUGUCAAAAGGGAAGCGUUUAACACCAGUGUUGUUUUCUGAAAAUCAACCUCUGUUAGCUUUAUGCAUGUUUGUUUAGACCUAAUCAGCUAUCUUGCAUGUUCUAUUGUUUGCAGUGGUGCACUUUUCAGUUUACAGGUCAACAUCAGUUUUUUUUACCGUAAAAAAGUUAAAGAAAGGUAGCUCAUGGCUCCGGUCGUGAGUGUUAUAGUCUUUUUCCUAUGCGGUAGGAGAGACUGAGGUCUGCAGUGUAGGCUAUUUGGCUAGAUACUCAGGUGCUAUGUGAUACCAUUUCAUAAACAACUUGUUGAUUAUGUUUUGUCUAUUGCAUACUCGCUUGUACUAUCAUACCUACGCUUAGGAUGUUGAGUCGUAGAGCACGCAG
rnacentral:rRNA from 1 species